AAAAAAAACUUUAUUAACCUAAAACUACAAAGGAAAACACUAAGGAAAACACACAAAACACAUAGAACACAAGAUGAAAACUUUCUAAAUUUCUUCCUCCUCCCCCCACCUAGAUUUCCAAUUCUAUUACUACCAAAUCUACCUUUUAGAUAAUCAGUUCUCAAUUCUUCGAGAAGAGAGAAGUCCCUCUUGCACCACAGACUUCCCUAGGAAACAGUCGAAACUUCUCGUGUUUUCAUGUCACAUGUGGCACCGCCCGGAGAACAUUUUGCCAUCGUGACUUCUUCCUUCCAUGUCCAGUGCUCUCACCACUGCACAUGGAUCAGAGCUGCUUCUAGGGUUUUUCCCUUUAAGGAUACUUUGUCUAGUUCUAAAAAGAGCACAGUCUCUCUCUUUUUGGGACACCUGUCCCCCCGAAAUUUCACCCCCUGGGGCCGAGGGGUCUCUUGAACAGAGAUCAUCUUCCUCUUCUUCUUCUUCGAAGAUGGAGGGCACCACCACCACUCUCCUCACCCGUGGUCUCUGUUCACACACCUCUACAUCAUUGCACUCUCUUGGCUCUGAGCCAUCACCUCCCCCUAGAAUGCAGUCUCUGUGUCACAGGAACACAAGGGGUUCUGCUGUGGCUAUACAAGAAAAGUUUAGCUAAAGGCCACUCCAUCAUCUCUUCUCACCUAGGAUUCUUCUCAACAUCUUCUCAAUCUCAUCAACUUCAGGAGGAAUCAGCAUUUGCAAGGUUUCCAUCUUCCCCAGAAGGGUUAAAAGUCCCAGGCUCUCUGCCGGUUUGCUUCAUGAACUCCCACGCCUGGCUGCCCUGCUGGGCACCCCCCCCUUCUCCUUCACGCCGGCCGUGCUAUCACAGGCAUGAGCUCUGGCUCUCUCUCCCUCUCUCCAGGGGGGGGAAUGGGGGAUGGCUGCCCGAAGCCCUUGCAAUGUUCUCCUCCACCCUUGGGCCUAGGCCUGGCCUACCUCCCUCCGGCCGCAUGGCUCCCCUCCCCCCCCCGCCCAGCUCAGGCCGGGCAGGGAGGGUUGAGGGUCUGCUCAGUCCCAAGCCGAACUCAAAGAGGAAGUUCCCCUGGGAGAUCACAGCUUUUAACCCCUGUGUUCUCAGAGGCUUAUCCAUGCCCUCAGUGGACAAACCAGGUGCCAAUAUUAAAUCUGAACACCGAUUGGCUUGCCCACACCAUCACAAAAAACUUCAUUUCCUUUCAAACCACGACAGCAACACAACUCUCUUCAGGAGGCUGAUAUAAGUUUCAUUAGAAAUCAAUUCUUAUUUUUACACCGUUCCAAUACCAGUGGACCUGAUUGGUCAUUUAAUCAACACCCUGUCACCAUUGGCUAAUUAAGAAGACAUUCUUUGGUAAACAUCUGUCGUAGUUUGACAUGAGAGGAGUUCACGGAAGUAAGACAAAUGGUUUUUGUGUGACUAGUAGUCUGUUAAACCUCUAAGAAACUGAACACUCCUCUGUGAAAGACACAUGUUAAAGACGAAAGAAACCCAAGAACUUUCUCUUUCUUUUCCCAUCGACAAAGAAGUAACAGGCCCCGACCCCAGCCCUGACCCCUGUCUCGGCCAGGCCGGACUGGGCGGCCCUGCAGUGGGCCAGGGUCUUUUGCCCGGGCCGCCCACCAACCCCCCCAUGAGCCCCCAUCCUACUGUGGGCUGGGUCCCCAGCAGCUACCAGGCCAGAAAACAAAGGAGGCUUCGGAGCCCUGGAGCCCAGGCCGGAGCAGGGCUGGCCGCAGCUGUUAAUAUAUUACCAUCAAAUACCCUCCCCCCAGCACGGCUGAGACCAAAAACCCCUACAACCAUGCAGAGUAGCCCUGUGGCUAGAAUUGAAUGCAAAGAAAACUAAAAACCAACCAUGAGGCUGAUCCUGACACAACCCAACUGCAACUCCCACCACAAGUUAUCAGUAGAUCAGGUAACUAUUUAAAAGGCCCAAACAACAUGUUAACCCUUUCAGUAUUUCAAUCAUCCCCCAAGUAAGAAAAAGAACAAGAUACAAAGAUAUAAAAGAACAACAUAAAAACAUCAUAAUUAGUAAAGAAGAAGUUAAAUCCCAGAUAAGAAAAAUGAAAAGAAUACCUUCAUUUUGAAACUGAAAUCCUCUUAUAAACUAUGAAGAAAAGACUCUUUUUCCCUAUAACACAUGAAACUAUGGGGAGAUUAAAUUGUUCAAAUUAAUAGCAAACAAAAACCUCCAUACUAAAAUAAACAGAUGUUAAUAUAGCUGUAAUCCCAUGAAAAGUAUAAACAGAAAAAAGAGAAGAGUAAUCCAGUACCCCCAAUAGAAGAUCUCUAUUCCCAGGGAUAAAGAUGAUUUUAAAAAUAAAUAAUGAGAACUUUUACUUUUAAACAACUCAUCCUUAAAACAAUACCCCAUAAGUAAACAUAACCCAUCAACAAGCUAUAAGAAGACAUAACAAUAGGAAGGACUUCACUACAACAGAGUUCCCUGGGCGGCUGUUAUUCAUAACAAAAUUAGGAACCACAAAAUAACUAUUUUUUUCCUCUUGUAAGGAAGUGUCCAUAACCUUAACAAGAGGGACUUGUCUCCCUAAGUGAAUUGAAAAAAAGACUAUUUUAAAGAUAAUAAACUAACUAGAAUUUUAGACUUUGUUUCUUUACAUUAUCAGUGAGAAAAAAAUGUUGUGGGGAGAGAAGUGUUCUGAAGGGUUUGUUUUAAUUCUUACUACUUUUUUUUUCCUUUUAGUUGCUUUUAAUAUAAUUUUUUUUAUAUCCUUUUAAAAUUUUGAGCUUGCUUUGCCUUUCUCCUAAUCCUAUCUCACAGUAGGAAAUGAAUACAUUAGUAAUUAACCAACACCAAAACCUACCACACUCUUUAAUACACUGGCCAAGAAAUCUUAAGAUUAAAAAAAAAUUAAAUUGAUGAAUCAAAACCACUACACAAAACUGGUGUUUCUGCCCGGUUUCAAACUGAAACCUCCACAUCUUUUAGUGAAUAAUGCAGACAAUUAAUAAACAUUGUGAGAUAGGGAAUUUAUUAGGAGAAAUAAAUGGCAAAGCACGUAUUAGGUCACAAGGUUAAGUAGAAUGAUAGUGAAAAAGUUUUACUGUAAAUAUGCUGAAAGACUAAGGGUAGAAGUUAGUGUAAAAUUUUUCCCCCUUCGGUUUAAUUUAGUAAGUUUUAGUUUCUUUUAGUUACUUCUAAUAAAAUUUUCUUAAUACCCUUUUAAAAUUUUGAGCCUGCUUUGCCUUUCUCCUAAUCCUAUCUCACAACAAGAAAUGAAUACAUUAGUAUUUAACCAACACCAAAACCUACCACACUCUUCAAUUCAUUCACCAAGAAAUCUUAAAAUUAAAAAAAUCUUAAAUUAACAAAUCCAAACCACUACAACAUCUUAUGAGAAAAAAACUGUUCAAAACACCAGCUGCAAGAUUGUUUUAAUUCUUUCUCUCAACCUUCUCAAAACUCCCCAGAACAAUUCCGGGGAAAGUUUAUCCAGCUUUCUCUCUCUGUGACCAGACUGUUGCAUCCACAGGUCCCCCUUUUUGUUUAAAAGAGGAAGGAGGCAUUUGUCAUCCCCUUCAGGGCCCUUUGCAGGAAGGAGAACAAACACAGUGGAAGAGGUUCCUUUAGCAAUUUGCCGGUUGCCAAUCAGAACCUCAAUCAUAUGCUGACUUAGAAUGGGCAGAGAGAUUUCCAACAUAUACCAUCAAAUUCUUUACAAUCAAACCUUGUUGUUCCUUCUUUUAAAAAAUCAAAUAUGAAUUAUAAAAUAUCAGUUACUAAUUCUAAUAGAGUAACAAAACAUCGUUAGUCUGCUCAAAGAACUGGCAGUCUAACUUGUAAACAACCCUUUUCCAGAAACAAAGAAAAAGAGAAUGCUCAUUCCCCACUUGUAGAGGAACCAUCGGAUUGAUGGUCGGCAUCUUGAUCAUCAUUCAAAGGUUGCCUGUUGGCCGCAUUCUGUUUUUGGUGUCGCUAAUCAGGGCAAACACACCUUGCAGGUAUCCACUGUACCCCAGUAUCUGUGGAAAUGCAUGCAUACCUGUGACCCCAAGCGAUAAGCUUGCACGGGCCCUCCCACUUAUUAGUGAUUAGGUCCCGUAUCCAGACUUUAGCUCCAGGCAGGUGCAUCUCACCUGAAGAUUGCAAUGAGAGAGAAUAAUUUAGAAGAGUUUUGUGGCUCUGUAAGAUGAUUGAUUGUAUGUAGAGUUUUUUUUCCAAUCGACUAAGAAUUGCAUUUUUUUUUUUUUUAAGCCAGCAGCAGGACGGUGGCGCGGGUGUCACCGUGGUGUCCCUGCCAAGGCCAGAUUUAUCUGGUUUGUCCUUUUCCCUCGCCUUUUCACGCCAAGAAAAGGAAGGGAGAAAUGCAGGAGGGGCUGGAGGGAAAUUGGCCCAAACCUGCAGCGCUGCCUCCUCUUCCUUCACUCCCUCCAUGGCCACUGCUCCGUGUUGGGAAAUGGAAAGGAAGGGUUUUACAGGGAAUACGGAAGUUUGCCCUGAAUUUGGGGUCCCUGGGACAGCCCGCACCCACCACAGGACGAGCGAUUCACUCCCACUCUUCCCAUCACUGACUUCCCCCUACACGGCCGAACUCCCAGCCAUUUCCCCGACGUGCAGCCCAUUCCACACUCCUCCCGGGCACUGAAGAGGUGCAGCCCCCCUGCACUCCGCUCCUCUCACCCCGGAAAUGAGAGCAGGACAGGCUGUUGGUGUUUGUCGCUGUCACUGUCCUCAUCCUGGAACAGGGGCGGGUGGGUCAGGCUGCGGGCAGUACAAGAUGGCGGGUUGUCCGGAGGCUCCGAAGCCGAGGAACCGUCCCCAAGCUGCGGAGCAGAGAGGCUGGUUGUAAGCCGCAGGGUGGAGAAGCCAGCUGCUGGCGGCGCAGGGGCAGGGGGCGCAGCCACGACCUGGGUGCGGAUAAGGCAGCCGCUGUCGGCGGAGUGAGAGGUGCAGCCACGAGCCACGGCGCAGCCCGUCCAUGGCGUGCGGCGCGGGCUGUGGUGGUAAAACUGCAAAAGACAUCAAGUCAGCCGAUCCACAUGCUGCAUGGCGGGGGGAGGAGGAGGCAGUUGCCCCGUUUGUGCUGAUGAAAGCGGAGGGGCGGAGGUGACCGCGGCUCCAGUUGCGGCAUUUGCCGACAGCGAAACUGGUGCGAUUGCCUCCGCCGGUGCUUCUUGCUCCUGCGCUGCAAAGGUGGGGGGGUGGAGGCGAUGGCAGGAGCUGCGCGCGGUGGCGCCGGUAUCGCUGAGACAGAAGGCACGACCCCCGGAGCUCUGCUUGCGGCAGGGUAAGGAGGUGUAGCAAACCCUUGCACCGACUCUGCUGGGUGAAAUGGGAACGGUGGGGCUGAGGAGAUCAUGGCUCCUGGUGCUCCAUCCGCCUGGAUUGUGACCGCCCCCACCAGUGGCGGCGGUGGAAAGGAAGGAGCUGUCGGUGGGGGGAAGAGUGCUGGCUGUGGUGGAGGCACACUGGCCACUACCUGCUGUGCUGGGGGAGCCGCAGGCAGCGCGAAUGGAGGGGAACACUUCACCAGGUCCAAUUGGAACACAGCUACCGAAGUUGGCAGUGGCGACUCUGCAGGAGAAGGAUAUUUUUGCGGAACAUAAUGUCUAGGUGAGAGAUAGAUUCCGCGGGGGACCCCCAUGUCUUCUGCAGGUCAGCGCGGAGCCGAGGAAGAGACAGCAGCCGCCUGGCCCACCUCUCUGGCCCCUGGGGUGUCAGUGCCCACAGAGACAGCAUCUUCACUUUCUGAGGUCCCCAUUUCUGCCUUGCUUUCCCUUGGGGUACGGCCUCAUAUAUCUCUGGAAAGGACUCCUCAAGGGAGCUACUAAACGUGGUGCAGUCAUAUGUCCCUUGAUGACCUCAUCCCUCAGACAACCACCUAGUGCAUCCCAAGUCUGUAGAUUAAAUGUGGUUGUCACAUCUACUGGGAAGUGUGAAAAACAACUGCUCACUUUGAAAAUUUAAAAAGGUUUAUUAAACCUGGACAAAAAUACAACAAAAGGACUACAUAAGGAAAAAUUCGCAGUGCUGGGAACUGCCUUCGUGGAUACCACGUGGCCGGUUCAUCUUCAAGAUGGAUGCUCAGUCUUUUAUACCCCUGGGGGGUUGCACCAGCCAGCCCUGGCCCCUCCCAAAGUCUGUCAGUCAGCUCUUCUUUGCCAUUUAUCGGUGGAGACUGCUUUCUUGUAACUUGAUUGGAGAUCGGGUGUUACCAUGCCGCACCUCCUAAGCAACAAGCUUUUCCAUUCCCAGCUGCUACAGGUUGCUUGUGCUGCCAUCUUGGCUGGGCAGCCCAUGCCCAUGACGCAGCUCUAUGCAGCUCCCGAGACCACCCUCCCACCACCAGGGCUAACCACGCCCCUCGUCACUGUGGAAAUGCCUGGACUGCCUCUGCCCCAAGCUGGUUGGCUCAGCCCACAAACCACACUCACAGUCCCGCCUCUUCUGGCCAGGCCUUCCUGCCGCUGCAACACGGGGGUGGGGCCCCAGAUGAUGUCACUACAAAUGCCGGGAUGUUGUUACUAUGUCACUUCCGGAAAUGCACUGGAACCAAGAAGUCUCAGCGCUACGAUGCUGAGUCCCGCUCCCGGCUCCGGCCCCACACCUGCUGCUGCCACAGCUUCAACACAUCUGCAGCCAAAGCUCCAACAGCCCCAAGGAACCACGUCACUGAUGGACACGCAAGACCCCCACAGAGGGAACCCAAAUCUCCGUCCUACUACCAGCCUCGGAGAAGAAGCCCUUGCAACCCCACCAGCUCCAGCUCCAUCACCACUCCUAUUAGACACCAUCCCAGCACAUAUUAACACUACGAGCCAUAAUGAAAGCUGCAAACAUGAGUACUCCAACCCACAGGUACUCAAGCUUAAAACAAAACCCCAAAAAUUAUAUGCACAAAAACUUUGAGAUAUAUAUAUAUAUAUAUGCACAAGAGCUUUAAACCUGUAUUGCAAUGUUUAUUAUUUUUUUUAAUUUGCAUCCUACAAAAAAUAUUAGUCAAAAGGUACGACAAUGGUCCCUUGAAAAGGAAAUGCUAGACACCCUCAACUGGAUUAAACCCUAUCCAAAAUUAACCAACUUACAAUUAACACCCUUAUUUGACCUCCUAAAAGGUGAUCCUAAGUUAACUUCCCCCAGAAAUUUAACCCCAAAAGCAAAAAUGCUCUCAAAACAAUAGAGCAAGCUACCAUCAAAACAGACAUUAGUCCUGCUUACAUUUCACAGAAACCAAAACAUUUCCUACAGCUCUGGGGUGUGUCACACCACACUGGUAUUCCCAAAUUAGCAACAGGACAAGCCAUUGUGGAAAGAACAAAUGGCACUUUAAAACGUGAACUUGAAAAACAAAAGAGACAAAUGUGUGGUGAGAUCCCACAGAGGAGGGUAGCUAAAGCUAUCUAUACACUAAAUCAUUUGGGACAAUUAGAAAAGUCCCAAAACCCAGUCAUUUUAAAUCACUUUCUAUCACUAUAAUCAUCCGGCGAUGAUCAGUCACCCAAACGCAAUCUUAUCCAUGGUUGUCACUGCAUAACUUGUCAUCUGUUUGCCAUCUUGCAUAAAGCUGCUCUUGUCUGAGUGCAGCUCCCAAUCUGGAUCUUGUGGUGACACAUCCUUCAGGUCUGCUCUGCUGGAAUAGGCCUCUUCCAUGGUCUAUAAACCCUAAACCAGAACACAGUCAUACUCAGAUAUAUUAUCAGUUAGUGUCGGGAACAGAGACAUACCAGGAUUGACAGCAAAUGUUUUUAGAAUAACAUUACCCUGUUUCAGUAACAUGGCAUAGGGUACAUGUAGUUGGUGUUCAUAGGACAAACUUACAGUGAGUUGGAUGCAACUGUUGGAUGCAGCAAUUCUUAUCUGCUGCCUUCUCCAGUUCUCCAGUUCCUUUGCCAGCUGAUUUCUGAAUACAGUUGGCCUAUUCCUUAAACCCUCAGGCAGGACUGUCUUGGUGAGCUGGCUCUUUCUUCCUGUUUCAGGAUUCUUCAACUUAACAGCAGAGUCCUUGGCCUUUCCUAUUCACAGGGAUGCAGGAGAAGGUAUCUUAAAAAUUUAAUUCGGUAAACCAUCCUAAACUAUCUGUUAUUCUCUUCCUUUUGCAAAAUUCCAGCAGAUCCUUCUUAGGAGAAUUUGUCAAAUAGAGAAACUGAUGAAGCACCCAGUAUCUUCCUAAUUCAUAUUUCAAAGGUUGAAAGAAAGGUCUCAUCAUUCUUACCCCUCUGGCACUUACAGUUCUUACAGUACCUUGAUUAGGUUUCCUUUCUAAGGUGUUCAUUAAAACAAGACUCUGUCUGCUGACCCGUGCGGUGUGAACCUGGCAGCGCAAAGAGCGCUCGCUGCCUGCCACUUGGCCCAGGGACGGAGGCACAGCAGGGAUACACCCAGUGCGACUGGUGCCGCGUGCUUCACUUUGCCCGUACCCGCCCCUUGCCACUGCUUCCCUGUUUCUCCAAAACAAAACUCGUUACUAUGGAAACCGUGGUCGAGCCAUCCAUCACAGACACUGUGCUCCUGCUUACAAAGGGUGUUAUCAGUUUCUCCAAGGCGUUCAACCCCGCGUCCGCCCCCACCCACCACGGUAGCAGAAGCGGCGCCGCCCAGGGGGGUGAUGCUCCCUCCCGCAUGUCUCACACGCCCAGACCCCUUUGGGACCCGGGACCAUUUCCCCGCCCCAUUUCUCGGCCAUUGUCAGGGCAAUGGACAGGGCCACUUCAGCGGCAGCUCUCUGAGCGUCUGUUCCCCCCUUUCGUCAUGCGGGGCUUGGCCUUCCCACUCGCGGCACCAUCUCAUGAUUUCAGUCAGAUCUUUGGGAGCUUCUCUUGCCCCGAGAUCCUGGAAAAAACGGCACAAAAUCCCUUCCUUGCUCACAGCAGAAGCUGGGCCCCUGCCCGAACUGGCCCGCUUCAACCCGCCAAGGUCCAGGACCUCCCUUUCCACAGAUGGAAUACUGGAAGUGGGGCCCCCUCCCCCUUUCCCACAGUGUCGGUAGCCGGGCCUCCCCUGGCCACUCCGAGAAAUCUGUCCCGUUUAUGCCCAGGCGUCCCUAGGCGAACACAACAUUCAAAAUCCACGCCUGCUAAACACAAAAAAAAAAAACCUCUGGAAGGUCAUUUGCUUUUCUCCACCAAUAAACAACCUCAGCUAGUGGCAAACACACACACACAUCCUCCCCCCAGCCUAGCUGUGGCGGGUUGGAAAAGUGGCAAAAGAAAAAAACCUUUGAGAAGCCACUCCAAAAGCAAGUCCCGCUCCACACCACGCUGGGCUAGAAUCCUGGAACUGCUAGCAGUUACUGACCUUACAAAGAUGCACAACACACACAUGAAACAAGGGAUUUAAGGGUUAAUAGGGAAUUUAGGAUAGUUUAGGCAAUAUAUCUGUGAACAUAUGGUAUUCAUUAUUCUACUCGUAUGGGACUGAGAUAGGGGACCCUCCAAAGGAUAUCUGUUACCUAUUAAAAUUCUGCUGAGCUCGCAAAUAAGAGGGGCCCCUGAUAAAAACUGCUGAGCUUGCCAGAAAAUUAGAAGCAAAGAGAGACUGCACAUGCGAAAACACUUGAGUUCGAAAGUUCAACAGCUAUGAAGACUUUGAGCCUUCCUCUUUUCAGGCCCCCAGACUCAUUUAAAGACCACUGACUCAAUAAAAAGGAUAAACUGUGCAGUCACAACUAAUUUCCAUACCAUGCAGAGAACGGGCGGGGAUAGAUACUGAAUAUGUAUAGGCGUUAUAGAAUAUGCAUUAUUUUUGUGAAUAAAUAGAGGAUUUGUGAAUGUUGGGGCAC